rnacentral:misc_RNA from 1 species
GAUGUUGGGAUUUGUAUAAUGGAUUGGGUUUUUAUGUUGUUACCCAUUUUAUCUACAUAGCUAACAUGAAUAUGUAUCUGGUUAAAAUUAGGAACAGUAAGUGUUUCAUCGUUUCAUGUAAUUGGAAAGUCACAGACUCACAGUUAGAUAGAGAUUUAAAAUUCUUCACAACUCUCAUAAUGGUUUUACCUGAAUGAUUUUCAAAUUGUGUUUCUUACAUCUUUUAAAAGACCUGAUAAUAUUUUUCUGGAUGAUCAUGAAUUUUCCUUAUCUUUUAAGUGCAAGGCUGACAUAGAAGCUGCAGAUUAUUGAACCGUUUGAUGAACAUUGUUAUAAAUUGGACUUUGUAAAGUUCUGUAUAUUGGACCAUCCUUGAACCCUGAAAACAAAAAUAUGUUCUGCAAGAAUCACCAAUAAUAUGUUCUAUAAGAAUGUUGAUAAAUGUCCUGAACAAACCCCAUAAACUAUCAAUGAUGGGCAAAGAUGUUCUUAGUGGAGACUGAUUCGAAAUCUAGAGCUUGAGGUAAUAUUAUAAAAAAUUGUGGGGUGUGGUGGCCUGGUCUAUGGGAAGUUUCCAUAGAAUACUUUUCAACUGGUUUAUCAUCUGGCUAAACAGCAUUCGGUCUCGUAUUCUAAAUCUAAUGGCAAGAGAAUUUGGUUUGAAGGGAGAAAGUUGUUAUUAGUUGGUGUUGCAUGUGUAAAAAGUGAAUUGAGAGGCAUUUGACAUUUACCGUCUUCUUCAAGAUUUCAGGAGAAGUGUGUUUGAUUUUUGCCCUUUGUGUUUUCUGGCUUAUGAUUAUGGCUAAUGGUGGUUAAUUUUUGGCUUCUUGGAGAUGGUAUCUAAUAGUACACUGAUUUGUCUGUUAUGGAGGAUGGUUCUCUUAUGCAGUUAAAUGUUUAAUUUUAGAACUUCUUUAGGAUUUUGUAAUUCAUUGAAUGAGCUGAGAAGCUUUUUAAGAGAAACAUAGGAAAUUGAAGUAGUUUUCUGGAAAAGUUUUCUAAGAAAACUGGAAAAUAGAGUUUUGUGUUCAAAUGUGUCAGUUUUCCAAAUGGAGAAUUAAAAAAUUAGUUUUCCAUUUUUUUCAUAAUCUAACUAAGAUUUGGAGAACAAUUUUAAGUUGUUUUCUACUAUUUUCUUUUAUGAUAAAAGUUCUAUUUUCCAAUUGUUUUCCAAAUAGAAAACAAUGA